UGCGCAGAGCCGGGAAGGGCGUGGCCUACGGGACGGACAGUCCAGCAGUUGGGAUGUUGUUGUCUUCAUUCCUCCGGGAGAUUUCUCCUCCCGCGACGCCCCCUGGAUUUCUCUCCAUUUCAAAUAAGCGACUAGAACUUCCGCAGUGAGAGCAGGAUGGAAUGAGGCUUGUUUCUAGGAGGGGAGAGCCAUCGUGAGACCUCUGCGGGGAAGCUGACAGCAGGGUUGCCUGGGCCCCCUCCCCCAGUGCGGCUGCCACGGGCUUUGGCGUCCAGGAGCCCAGGAACGUGUGACCACAAGCCCCGGUGACUCCACCUAACACCGGGAUCCACGUGGUCCUGUUAACUUUAAAAAACAAAACUGCCAGUUGCUUUACCAGCAGCAAAAAAAAUGGGUGCAGAGUUGCCGGGCAAGCAAGCUGUCGGCAAAACCAUCAGCAAGUCCCCCAAACUAAGGGCUGCGUGCUCUUUUAUAGAGGAAAGGGGGAAGUCGGGAGAGGCUGUCGUAAACAAAAAGUCCAUUGGAGUCCGCUGGGGAUUCGAAACACAGUAGCUUCUCAUUGGCUGGCUGUUGCUGGGGCGAGUGGAAAGUCUUCCGCGGAGGUAAUGAAGCCUAUUCACCUACCCAGGUCCACUGUCUCUUCCUGUUGGAUUUGCAAUUAAGGACAAAUGGUAGAGCGUGAGACCUGCCCCAGCCGAACCUCCCAACUCCAUUUUAGUAAGAUUUCCCUUUACUAACUUUCACAUUGGAUCCAAGUGAUCAGUAUUUGUGGAUUUGGUUCCGUUCACUCCCUGACCCCCAAAGAAGUGGCAUCUCCUUCCAAGGGCAGAACUGUGCUAUAGCAACAGGACGUGAUGCCUUUCAGUCCCAGCAAUGACAGGAACAAGUUGACAGAUGCAGGCUUAAGUCAAUGGUCAGCACCAAACCUGUGCUUGGCAACCUCAGCCACCAUUUCCCAGGCUUCCCCGACCACCUGCCCCUGGAGUGUCCACGCCUCUGUCCAUCACCGACACCACUCCCCUAACAGCUUAUCGUCUGACUCUGGCAUUAGGAUGUACACUCUGCGAGAACAGGGUCCCGGCCUGGUGCCCUGCUCUAACCCCAGGACUUUGAACAGUGGCUGGUCCAGCGCAAACCCUAAAUCUGACAGAAGGGGCGCCUGGG